ACGAAGGGGGCUAGCGUUGCUCGGAAUCACUGGGCGUAAAGGGUGCGUAGGCGGGUUUUUAAGUCAGAGGUGAAAUCCUGGAGCUCAACUCCAGAACUGCCUUUGAUACUGAAAGUCUUGAGUAUGGGAGAGGUGAGUGGAACUGCGAGUGUAGAGGUGAAAUUCGUAGAUAUUCGCAAGAACACCAGUGGCGAAGGCGGCUCACUGGCCCAUAACUGACGCUGAGGCACGAAAGCGUGGGGAGCAAACAGGA
rnacentral:rRNA from 1 species